GAUGAACGCUGGCGGCGUGCCUAAUACAUGCAAGUCGAGCGAACGGACGAGAAGCUUGCUUCUCUGAUGUUAGCGGCGGACGGGUGAGUAACACGUGGAUAACCUACCUAUAAGACUGGGAUAACUUCGGGAAACCGUAGCUAAUACCGGAUAAUAUUUUGAACCGCAUGGUUCAAAAGUGAAAGACGGUCUUGCUGUCACUUAUAGAUGGAUCCGCGCUGCAUUAGCUAGUUGGUAAGGUAACGGCUUACCAAGGCAACAAUGCAUAGCCGACCUGAGAGGGUGACCGGCCACACUGGAACUGAGACACGGUCCAGACUCCUACGGGAGGCAGCAGUAGGGAAUCUUGCGCAAUGGGCGAAAGCCUGACGGAGCAACGCCGCGUGAGUGAUGAAGGUCUUCGGAUCGUAAAACUCUGUUAUUAGGGAAGAACAUAUGUGUAAGUAACUGUGCACAUCUUGACGUUACCUAAUCAGAAAGCCACGGCUAACUACGUG
rnacentral:rRNA from 1 species